rnacentral:rRNA from 1 species
UUUUCAUCAGACAAUCUGUGUGAGCACUGCAAAGUACGCUUCUUUAAGGUAAGGAGGUGAUCCAACCGCAGGUUCCCCUACGGUUACCUUGUUACGACUUCACCCCAGUCAUGAAUCACAAAGUGGUAAGCGCCCUCCCGAAGGUUAAGCUACCUACUUCUUUUGCAACCCACUCCCAUGGUGUGACGGGCGGUGUGUACAAGGCCCGGGAACGUAUUCACCGUGGCAUUCUGAUCCACGAUUACUAGCGAUUCCGACUUCAUGGAGUCGAGUUGCAGACUCCAAUCCGGACUACGACGCACUUUAUGAGGUCCGCUUGCUCUCGCGAGGUCGCUUCUCUUUGUAUGCGCCAUUGUAGCACGUGUGUAGCCCUGGUCGUAAGGGCCAUGAUGACUUGACGUCAUCCCCACCUUCCUCCAGUUUAUCACUGGCAGUCUCCUUUGAGUUCCCGGCCGGACCGCUGGCAACAAAGGAUAAGGGUUGCGCUCGUUGCGGGACUUAACCCAACAUUUCACAACACGAGCUGACGACAGCCAUGCAGCACCUGUCUCACGGUUCCCGAAGGCACAUUCUCAUCUCUGAAAACUUCCGUGGAUGUCAAGACCAGGUAAGGUUCUUCGCGUUGCAUCGAAUUAAACCACAUGCUCCACCGCUUGUGCGGGCCCCCGUCAAUUCAUUUGAGUUUUAACCUUGCGGCCGUACUCCCCAGGCGGUCUACUUAACGCGUUAGCUCCGGAAGCCACGCCUCAAGGGCACAACCUCCAAGUAGACAUCGUUUACGGCGUGGACUACCAGGGUAUCUAAUCCUGUUUGCUCCCCACGCUUUCGCACCUGAGCGUCAGUCUUUGUCCAGGGGGCCGCCUUCGCCACCGGUAUUCCUCCAGAUCUCUACGCAUUUCACCGCUACACCUGGAAUUCUACCCCCCUCUACAAGACUCAAGCCUGCCAGUUUCGAAUGCAGUUCCCAGGUUGAGCCCGGGGAUUUCACAUCCGACUUGACAGACCGCCUGCGUGCGCUUUACGCCCAGUAAUUCCGAUUAACGCUUGCACCCUCCGUAUUACCGCGGCUGCUGGCACGGAGUUAGCCGGUGCUUCUUCUGCGGGUAACGUCAAUUGCUGCGGUUAUUAACCACAACACCUUCCUCCCCGCUGAAAGUACUUUACAACCCGAAGGCCUUCUUCAUACACGCGGCAUGGCUGCAUCAGGCUUGCGCCCAUUGUGCAAUAUUCCCCACUGCUGCCUCCCGUAGGAGUCUGGACCGUGUCUCAGUUCCAGUGUGGCUGGUCAUCCUCUCAGACCAGCUAGGGAUCGUCGCCNNNNNNNNNNNNNNNNNNNNCACAUCUGAUGGCAAGAGGCCCGAAGGUCCCCCUCUUUGGUCUUGCGACGUUAUGCGGUAUUAGCCACCGUUUCCAGUAGUUAUCCCCCUCCAUCAGGCAGUUUCCCAGACAUUACUCACCCGUCCGCCACUCGUCAGCAAAGCAGCAAGCUGCUUCCUGUUACCGUUCGACUUGCAUGUGUUAGGCCUGCCGCCAGCGUUCAAUCUGAGCCAUGAUCAAACUCUUCAAUUUAAAAGUUUGAUGCUCAAUGAAUUAAACUUCGUAAUGAAUUACGUGUUCACUCUUGAGACUUGGUAUUCAUUUUUCGUCNNNNNNNNNNNNNNNNNNNNGA